AUGAACGCUAGCUACAGGCUUAACACAUGCAAGUCGAGGGGCAGCAUGGUCUUAGCUUGCUAAGGCCGAUGGCGACCGGCGCACGGGUGAGUAACACGUAUCCAACCUGCCGUCUACUCUUGGACAGCCUUCUGAAAGGAAGAUUAAUACAAGAUGGCAUCAUGAGUCCGCAUGUUCACAUGAUUAAAGGUAUUCCGGUAGACGAUGGGGAUGCGUUCCAUUAGAUAGUAGGCGGGGUAACGGCCCACCUAGUCUUCGAUGGAUAGGGGUUCUGAGAGGAAGGUCCCCCACAUUGGAACUGAGACACGGUCCAAACUCCUACGGGAGGCAGCAGUGAGGAAUAUUGGUCAAUGGGCGAGAGCCUGAACCAGCCAAGUAGCGUGAAGGAUGACUGCCCUAUGGGUUGUAAACUUCUUUUAUAAAGGAAUAAAGUCGGGUAUGGAUACCCGUUUGCAUGUACUUUAUGAAUAAGGAUCGGCUAACUCCGUGCCAGCAGCCGCGGUAAUACGGAGGAUCCGAGCGUUAUCCGGAUUUAUUGGGUUUAAAGGGAGCGUAGAUGGAUGUUUAAGUCAGUUGUGAAAGUUUGCGGCUCAACCGUAAAAUUGCAGUUGAUACUGGAUAUCUUGAGUGCAGUUGAGGCAGGCGGAAUUCGUGGUGUAGCGGUGAAAUGCUUAGAUAUCACGAAGAACUCCGAUUGCGAAGGCAGCCUGCUAAGCUGCAACUGACAUUGAGGCUCGAAAGUGUGGGUAUCAAACAGGAUUAGAUACCCUGGUAGUCCACACGGUAAACGAUGAAUACUCGCUGUUUGCGAUAUACUGCAAGCGGCCAAGCGAAAGCGUUAAGUAUUCCACCUGGGGAGUACGACGGCAACGGUGAAACUCAAAGGAAUUGACGGGGGCCCGCACAAGCAGUGGAGUAUGUGGUUUAAUUCGAAGCAACGCGAAGAACCUUACCAGGGCUUGACAUAUGCAUGAAAAUCUAAGAGAUUAGAUCCCUCUUCGGAGCAUGUAUACAGGUGGUGCAUGGUUGUCGUCAGCUCGUGCCGUGAGGUGUCGGCUUAAGUGCCAUAACGAGCGCAACCCUUGUUGUCAGUUACUAACAGGUUCUGCUGAGGACUCUGACAAGACUGCCAUCGUAAGAUGUGAGGAAGGUGGGGAUGACGUCAAAUCAGCACGGCCCUUACGUCCGGGGCUACACACGUGUUACAAUGGGGGGUACAGAGGGCCGCUACCACGCGAGUGGAUGCCAAUCCCAAAAACCUCUCUCAGUUCGGACUGGAGUCUGCAACCCGACUCCACGAAGCUGGAUUCGCUAGUAAUCGCGCAUCAGCCACGGCGCGGUGAAUACGUUCCCGGGCCUUGUACACACCGCCCGUCAAGCCAUGGGAGCCGGGGGUACCUGAAGUGCGUAACCGCGAGGAGCGCCCUAGGGUAAAACUGGUGACUGGGGCU
rnacentral:rRNA from 1 species